rnacentral:lncRNA from 1 species
UCGCAUCACUUCCUCUCUCCAGCCUCUUUUGGCAGAGAAGUGGCUCUUGGCUGGCAGCAUCUUGGCGUGGCUGCAGCUAUUGUCCGAGUUUGGUGGUGAGAGUCCUUGACUGGGAGAAGCUUAGUAACCUAGUUCAGUUCCUCAAGUCAGCCUUUUAAGCAUCUAACUCAGCAGUUUGAAACCCAGCUGCAAGAUCAGCUGUGUUUUUUUAAGCCGAGUUAGCACGUUUAAAAAGACUGACUGACUUGAGCAAGUAAUAAAGAGAGAAAGGAAAGAAAUUUCA